rnacentral:lncRNA from 1 species
AAUAUUGAACUAGCAUGUCCCAUGGAUCAGCUCCUACAGUGUCAGAUAUUGGUCAGAUUCCCCACCUCAAGAAUAUCUCUCAGUGGAGUUCAGAGGAAGGAGAACAUUGGGGUGAGGCAGAGUGAUGAUGAUAAUAUGGAGAAGAAAAAGAAUGUCUGCAAUGUCCUUCCAUAGACAGACCUUGGAGAAUACCAUCUGGCAGCUCAAGGCUAUUCAAACUAACAUCUUACCUGUCAACUACUGAAGGAAGAAGAGAGUUUGGAGACCACAGGAUCCUACA